AGUGAGAGAGCCUAGUGGAUCCUGGGAGCCUGUAAUUAUGUUGUUUCUUAAAUGUUGUAAAGGUGAGGGAGUUGCAGGGACAUUGGAGGGGAGAUCUGAGCUCUGAGAACUUUCUCAUGCCAGCAGGGAGAGUAAGAGAAGAGGCAGAGACCCUAAGUGUUAAGGGAAUGAGGGGACAAAGCAUACAGCUGGGAUUGGAGCUAAGCUGGAGGAGGGUGGCCUGAGUGUUGAGAAAGGAGGGGAGCUCUCAGAGGUGCAGCUUGGUUUUAGAAAACACUGCUGUUUUGUAAGGACCAUGUAGCAAUUUGAGGGAACCCUGAGCUGUUCCAGACACACUGCCUUUUGCCAUCCGCAGGGAAGGGGCAGCAUUCCCAACCGUCAUGCAAGGAAAGCUCAGGAGGUGUGUUUUGCACCAGGAUGGGGAGUGUCCGACAAGCUCAAGCCACACUCUCCCAGCUCAUAUCUUCAACUUUCCUGCUUCCUGCCCCCUUCCUCCAAAGUGUGCUGGGAGGUUCUUAUUUGCAUAUGCAAAUUGGGAUGCAUGCUCCUUCCCCAAAAGUUCUUGUUCAGUUAGUCAUGUGGCCUGUUCCCUUGGUUGUUUCUUGGGACUGUCCUUACCCCUGUGGUAUGAGGAUGCAAGCAACAGGAGUCUUGUCUGCAUACAUGCAGAUGUUCCAUCAGUGGUUCCCAUUUUAUGAGUGAAUUAAAAAUGGAAAGAGGAAGCCACAGCACAGAAGUGAGGGAGGUUUGAGGACUUUGUGUUGAGGCCUCUGUUGAUGGGUCAGGGAGGCAGGAGGCGUGGGGCAGGUAGUUAAACUGCACAGCCCAAGGGAGGACGAUAACUGAGAGGGGGAGGAGUGUACGUCUGACACCUUGUGGUUCAUCUGGGGGGAGGAUGAGAGAGAGCACGAGCUGAAUGCCAGACGCCCUGGCAGCUGGAAGGGGAAAAGUUGCCAAAGCUGGAGUGAGCGUGGAGAGGCCCCUUCCCCUGCACUGUGUCCUCUGCUCCCCUGUUUCUAGCGUGGCUCUGUUCUGUCAAACCUCUUGUUUCCUCUAUAUUUUGUAACGUCCGCCACUUGCCCCCAUUUGUUUGUGAGGGGGAACCAAGGUGAAAGCAAAGCAUCAUGGGGCUCAACAUGCCAAGGGCGGGGAGCUAGUUUAGCAUUGCUUUUUAAUUUGCUGUAGGGAUAAACCAAUCGGAUCUUUGUCAGGAAGAUAGAGUCUCAUUGGAGGGGUGGGGCAUUUUUUGCGGGUGGGGGGGUUGUUUGUUUUUUUAAGUGGGGGGUGGGAAGGGGGUCGUCAUUGCGUGUUCCCAAGAGGAGUGAGGAAUCUCAGAGCCGACUUCAGCACGGAGUUAGUCAGUGGUUCUCUCCAUUGCCCCAGGAUACGAAUGGUAUGAUCAGGAAGCAUGGAUUGAUUUGGUUUCUGUGGAGUGUAGCAGCAGAGAUGACCUCCCUUCAGGUGCCAAUCAGUGCUUUGCAGGGGGAAGUUACCAAGAGUUGGACCCAUGGAAAUGGUUUGUGGUCACUUGGCUUUUAGGAGAACCCUGGAAACACCAUCUGGAAGACAAAAACAAGCCAAGAUGGCUCCUUUGCGUAUUCAAGCACUCCUCAUUUGCAUAUUCAUUUUGCCUUGUUUUGCGUAUUCAGUUGCGCCUUGUUUGCAUAUGUAAAUACAUGCCGGUCAGUGUGCAAAUUAGCCUCACCCCCCACCAACACCCUCUGAAAUAAAUGUGCAUCAUCAGCGAGCGGGAUGGCAUUGGCUCGGACACAUGGAGUUAAAGGCAGGGCACUGGAACUCUGCACUGCCCGCAGGAGCAAAGGGGCGCAAUCAGCGGAGAUCGGCCCGCUGUGGGGAGGAGCUCUUCGCUCGUCACGUCCUUCCGUGGCCGUGCAGCCCACGAUGCUUUGUGUCAAGGGUAGGGGAGAGGGGGGCGUGGUCUCACGAGUUUAUUUUUGUGCAUGCUUUCUUAAUAAAAACAAAAAGUGAAUGUUUAUGGUUUAACCCUCUUGGAGCCAGUAUCAAAUUAUUUUUUCAGUGGCGGCCGCUUGGGUUCAACACAGGAGUGGUUGACUUUUUAUUAUGAAGACAUGGGUGGGACUUUUCUGUUUUCACUGCCUGUGAUACAGGGAUUGUCUAUCAUUGGCUCCUUUGUGGAGGAUUGACUCAGAAGAGAUGUGUCUUGCACCAUUUCUUGGAACGGCAAAGAGGGGCUCAUUCUGCUCUCUACCAGCGGAAACUUCUGAGCUCCAGAUGCAGCAAGCAGGCUGUGCAGAGGAACCUUCCCCACUGAGCCUGCCUUCUAAGAGGAUGCAGGAAACAUCUGUCUUGCAGACACUGAACUCAACAGAAACACUUUUCACAUGGGUACGAAGGCCUUCGUACCAGCAGUGCUGAUGGAUGUGGAGUACACAGCCUGGAGACAUUCCAUCAUUGAACCUGCCAGAAGGACCACCAGGAAGGUCAGAUAACUCUAAAGGGAUGAUGGCAUCGGUCAUUGUGAAUGGGUCAACAUCAGGAGGGCUGUCAGGAGGCUCAGAGGACUUGAAAUCAGGUUGUAGUCACACUUUGUUUUGCCAGAUUUAUCUACAGAGGUCUCUCGGUACAGGAAGACUGGAGAGCACAUAACAAAAGCCAGGAUCCAGAUGAUAGCGCAUGUCACCCACGCAAACCUGACUGUGCGACGGUUUUGAC